rnacentral:rRNA from 1 species
AGCAGUCGCCGCGGGAACACGUAGGGUGCAAGCGUUAAUCGGAAUUACUGGGCGUAAAGCGUGCGCAGGCGGUUAUAUAAGUCAGAUGUGAAAUCCCCGGGCUCAACCUGGGAACUGCAUUUGAGACUGUAUGGCUAGAGUGUGUCAGAGGGGGGUAGAAUUCCACGUGUAGCAGUGAAAUGCGUAGAUAUGUGGAGGAAUACCGAUGGCGAAGGCAGCCCCCUGGGAUAACACUGACGCUCAUGCACGAAAGCGUGGGGAGCAAACAGGAUUAGAUACCCCUGUAGUCCCUGUCUCUUAUAC